ensembl:lncRNA
GAGAGAGAGACCUCAGUCGAACACAGUCAGAAAGAGGAGGUGGAAGAGGCGUUAGAUGGAGGAGGAGGUUACCCCAGAGGCCAUUCCUCCUGUUCAUGCGCAGCAGCACACUGCCCUCCAAAGCCUGCAAAAUAAUCGCCAGACUGCCCCUUUCCUAGCUCUGCAUGGAACAUCCAGUGUCAUGUCCUUGGUGACGUGUGGGGUGACCACAGCAUCAUCCUCUGGAAAGGGAAAAAAGGGGAACAGAUUGAAAACAAAUGCAAUCCGUAGCUUCUAAACACUGGCCAGUUGAAAGGUUCUACUAAGAUGUCAUGACAAACGGCACCUGUCAGAGUGCUCUCUAAGUGUUACUCACCUGCUUGGAUGUCAGCUGGCAGAGUGGCGGAGACGGCCAUCGUGAGAGUCCUUUCUUCAGGUGUGAGGUCCACAACCUCCAAGAGGGAAGAGAUGGGCUCUGCCUCUGUAUUAGGGGUGAUGUCCACCACAUUCAGGUGGGAAGAAGCCGGAUCUGCCUCUGUCUUAGGGGUGAUGUCCUCAACCUCCAGGUGGGAAGAACCCGGAUCUGUCUCUGUGUUAGUGGUGAUGUCCACAACCUCCAGGUGGGAAGAAGCCGGAUCUGCCUCUGUCUUAGGGGUGAUGUCCUCAACCUCCAGGUGGGAAGAAGCCGGGUCUGUAUUGUGGGUGAAAACAACAAUCCUGAUGAGCUCUUCUACUACAAUCCGUCAUCAUGAAGUGCUUUGAGAGACUAGUCAAGGACCCGAUCACCUCCACCCUACCUGACACCCUAGACCCACUCCAAUUUGCUUACCGCCCAAAUAGGUCCACAGACGAUGCAAUCUCAACCACACUGCACACUGCCC